AACCAAAUCGUUAAGCCUAGUUCAGGGAUCAGGGCUGCUUCCCUGUUCUGGUAAUUAAUUUUGGAACAUUAAGACAAGAUCUGGGAGAAAUGAUUGGGUAGAUGGUAUAUCUCUAUUCAUUUUCCUUCCUGCCUGCAAAA
rnacentral:snoRNA from 1 species